rnacentral:rRNA from 1 species
ACUCAAAUGAAUUGACGGGGGCUCACACAAGCGGUGGAGCAUGUGGCUUAAUUCGAGGCUACGCGAAGAACCUUAUCCUAGACUUGACAUGUGCGAAAGCGUAGGGAGGUAGGACCCGGAAACGGGAACGAACGGUAUCCAAUCCGGAACCCUAUACAGGUGCUGCAUGGCUGUCGUCAGCUCGUGUCGUGAGAUGUCGGGUUAAGUCCCAUAACGAGCGAAACCCUUACCCUUAGUUGCUACUAUUAAGUUAGAGGACUCUAGGGGGACUGCCGGUGUCAAACCGGAGGAAGGCGGGGAUGACGUCAAGUCCUCAUGGCCUUUACGUCUAGGGCUGCACACGUGCUACAAUGGCGUGAACAAAGGGAAGCAAAAGCGCAAGCUCAAGCAAAUCCCAAAAAACACGCCCCAGUUCAGAUUGAGGGCUGCAACUCGCCCUCAUGAAGUUGGAAUCGCUAGUAAUCGCGGGUCAGCAACACCGCGGUGAAUGUGUUCCUGAGCCUUGCACACACCGCCCGU